CAGCAGCCGCGGUAAUACGUAGGGUGCGAGCGUUCAUCGGAUUUACUGGGCGUAAAGCGUGCGCAGGCGGCCCGUUAAGACAGGUGUGAAAUCCCUGGGCUCAACCUAGGAAUUGCGCUUGUGACUGGCGGGCUCGAGUACGGUAGAGGGGGGUGGAAUUCCUGGUGUAGCAGUGAAAUGCGUAGAGAUCAGGAGGAACACCGAUGGCGAAGGCAGCCCCCUGGGCCUGUACUGACGCUCAUGCACGAAAGCGUGGGGAGCAAACAGGAUUAGAUACCCUGGUAGUCCACGCCCUAAACGAUGGGUACUAGCCGUUUGGUGCGCGAGAGCGCUGAGUGGCGAAGCUAACGCGUGAAGUACCCCGCCUGGGGAGUACGGCCGCAAGGUUGAAACUUAAAGGAAUUGGCGGG
rnacentral:rRNA from 1 species